GCGGAUUACGGUGGCGGC
rnacentral:sRNA from 1 species